GUAGGUGAACCUGCGGAAGGAUCAUUAUCACGUUAUCCACGUAUAAACCAUUGUGAACCGUACCCCACCUUUGCGAUGCGGAAAGUUGAAGUUUAUUCUUCAAUUUUAAAAUAAGAGGAUUCGUUCUCUUAGCCGUGUUGCAAAGCGUAUUUUUAAAACUUAUUAACCAUUAUAACCCAAUCUUUAUAACAAUUAUGAACUAAAAUUAUUUUAUACUCUUCGGAGAUAAAAUUCAUUACGAAACAAAAGA
rnacentral:misc_RNA from 1 species